rnacentral:rRNA from 1 species
GACGAACGCUGGCGGCGUGCUUAACACAUGCAAGUCGAACGGAAAGGCCCUGCUUUUGUGGGGUGCUCGAGUUGAGAACGGGUGAGUAACACGUGAGUAACCUGCCCUUGACUUUGGGAUAACUUCAGGAAACUGGGGCUAAUACCGGCUAGGAGCUACUGCUGCAUGGUGGGGGUUGGAAAGUUUCGGCGGUUGGGGAUGGACUCGCGGCUUAUCAGCUUGUUGGGUGGGUAGUGGCUUACCAAGGCUUUGACGGGUAGCCGGCCUGAGAGGGUGACCGGCCACGUUGGGACUGAGAUACGGCCCAGACUCCUACGGGACGCAGAAGAGGGGAAGAUUGCACAAGGGGCGGAAGCCUGAUGCAGCAACGCCGCGUGGGGGAUGACGGGCUUCGGGUUGUAAACCGCUUUCGCCUGUGACGAAGCGUGAGUGACGGUAAUGGGUAAAGAAGCACCGGCUAACUACGUG